CCCAGACUCCUACGGGAGGCAGCAGUGGGGAAUAUUGCACAAUGGGGGAAACCCUGAUGCAGCGACGCCGCGUGAGUGAAGAAGUAUUUCGGUAUGUAAAGCCCUAUCAGCAGGGAAGAUAAUGACGGUACCUGACUAAGAAGCCCCGGCUAACUACGUGCCAGCAGCCGCGGUAAUACGUAGGGGGCAAGCGUUAUCCGGAUUUACUGGGUGUAAAGGGUGCGCAGGUGGCAGGGCAAGUCAGAUGUGAAAGCCCGGGGCUCAACCCCGGUAUUGCAUUUGAAACUGUCCGGCUAGAGUGCAGGAGAGGUAAGCGGAAUUCCUAGUGUAGCGGUGAAAUGCGUAGAUAUUAGGAGGAACACCAGUGGCGAAGGCGGCUUACUGGACUGUAACUGACACUGAGGCACGAAAGCGUGGGGAGCAAACAGGAUUAGAUACCCCUGUAA
rnacentral:rRNA from 1 species